GAGAGAACUAAGGAAAACCUAACCAACUAAAACAUAAAGCUUCCAAAUUUAAGACUUUUACACCAGUUUCUCAUCAGCCAAACAGACGGAGCAAAGAAGAGCGAAUAAAUAAACAAAUAAAAUCAAGAGUCAAAUUUCAGAUCCCGGAGAUCAGAAACUGAACGGAAUAAAAAAAAAAUUAAAUAAAGAAAGAAGAGAAAAGCAUUCUGAAUUAUUUUCAGUGGAACAUAGACAUAUUUCCUCUUCCUCUACCCCAUUUUCUUAUAAACAAAGAGUAAAGUUAGAGUAGAAAGCAAAAAUGAA
rnacentral:misc_RNA from 1 species